CAGCGCUCUCUGCACCUCGGCAGCAGCAACGGCUGGCAGGAGCCCGUCGGUUUGGCGUACUCUGAAUUGUUCUCUCCCCUUGCCAAGCUGUGGGGCUGGAUCUCGCUGCUGUCUCCAG